rnacentral:misc_RNA from 1 species
AUGAUUUGUUGCACCUUCGACGCUCAACAGUUGAACGAGUAACGUGCUUUGGCGAGUAAACAAAUCCUGAUACAAUGGACAAGGCGAUCAUUAUUAACUGCACACACAAUACACGUUAUUACAACUUAUGACACACCGUCGGCAUCGCACAUUUCAAUCUAACGUAUCACGUAUUUAUCGAAAAUCAGACUCAAAUCACGCUUGAUUUCAACGGAUUCGUCAAAGAACGCGUAACGUGCGAAACUAUUCGUUCGAUAAUCGAAAGAUGCGACGCGAACGGCGAGGUAUCGAAUCUCACAGGAACCCCACGCCCUUCGGUACGUACGUUCCUGUCUGAUGGCAUUCUUCUCACUUUCUCCUACCCUGAAUCGAAUGGCGCCGUGCAUUCGUCCUUCUUCCUCGUUCCCGCGCAGUCUCCAACACUGAAAGCCUCGUCGUUUCUCCCUCUCUGUGGUCCUACCUGGCUUCCCUCUCCCGGUCGGUGGUCGAUGGAGGGGCGCGGGUGAACGCGGUCGGACGACAGUCCUUCCGCGGAUUGCGGAUAUUGUGUCGGGAAGCCUCGUGGUACGGUGUCCUUGCUAUACCCGUGUUCCUGUGACGCACAGAGUGGAAGGCGAGUGGCAUCCAGUUUUUCCAUAGCGAUAAACCAACUCGUGUCUUUUCGUCGGGACCUCGAACCUUUUGGAGGACUGAAGAAUCGUUUCACGGUCGCCGUCUCCUUGAUGCUACUCGUAGUUCGUUCUCGCGUUCUCUUCCUCUCCGUACUUCCGACGUACGUACUUCGUGACACCGGUUGUAA